AGGCGCGUAGCUCAGGGGUUUAGAGCACUACCUUGACACGGUAGGGGUCGGUGGUUCGAUUCCACUCGCGCCUAC
rnacentral:tRNA from 1 species